AUUGGGAGAUGACCAGUAUGUCUUCACCAGACUGAACAAAGUUUUUGACAGCAUGCCGUCUACCAAUACUUUAUCUCACAAGAUGUUUCCUCGACCUCCAACACCAUUUGAUGGACCUGCCCAGGCUGGUAUCAGUAAAACUAGUAACAACCCCUCUGUGGUUCAUCAGGGAGUGUUCUCCACAGCCAGCUAUGCCACGCACAAAAUCCGCUUCAAAGACGUGGAACUCUGGCAAAUCUGUAACGACCUGCUGCAAAAAACUCCAAAGAUUGGCAAUAGCAGCAAGUCGUUCCGUGAGUUUGUUGUGGAGAAAAUACGUAAACUACCUGGAGACUACCCUAUCUUUAAUGACUUCAUCAUGAAAGAGUGUGAGAUUCUACACCAACUGUUGACAGAAGUCCGACAUACACUCACUUUGAUAAGGAACGCCUGUGAGAACAAUGUGAUGGGUGACCAGCUGAGUGACCACUACCUGUCUGCGGCCGAUGACCUCUACCACUUAAGGAUCCCCAGGAUCUGGUGUAAGAUGACCGGCACCACCGCACCACCCUACACCUACAACGCCGCUCAGUGGCUCCGGGAUUUAGAGGACCGCUGGAAGCACUUUGAGAAGAUCCUAAGCAUGGGAAGGAAGGCCAUGCCAGCCUAUUGGUUAGGAGCAUUCUUCAAUCCUAGAGGACUUCUUGCCUUGCUGAAACAGGAAGCCAUCAAGAGUUACUGUGGAGAUAGGUCUGGCAAUUUUGAACAGUUCACCUUCCAGACUGAUACAACAUUCAGGGAUUUUGGACAUUUACUUCAACCUCCACCAGAGGGUGUGUACAUCCAUGGAAUCCACCUCUGGGGGUGUUCCAUUGAGAAGACUACCAAUGAAUUCCAGGACCAGGCCUCCAGACAGGGUUACGCCCCCCUUCCUGUCCUCCAUCUACAGUGCUACCCGAUUAACGAGAAACCCGCCUUACAGGAACCCUCCUUCCAGUGCCCCCUCUAUCCCUCCAGAAUAGCCCCACGGGACCCCAUCAUGGAAAUUGACAUCAAGAAGGAGGGUAUCCCGCCCAUGAGAUGGGCACUACGUGGGCUCACAGCUACCAUAUGGCCUUAUUAAUUAAAGAAACUGCCAAAGACGUUUUCUUGUGUUGUAUUAAAAAAUCCAAAAUAAUGCCUUUUAGGAUGAUUUAUUAAAUAAGAUCGAACAUUUUUUUUCUGACCUUGUGAUUUAUUGAAAUUUUUACUGUAUGACAUAAUGCAUUACAUAGAUAAAUAGGUAUUUUUUGCUGAAUGCAAACCUUAUUCCGUCCUCAUCACGUUCAAUCUGUGAUAACAAUGGUUGUGUACAGAG